GAGCUGUUGCGUCGCGACGGCGCAGACAGUGACAUCAUCAGAUGGUGCAGGCAAGGGCCACGUGGAAGACCGACAAAGAAAGACUGAACAAGUAUAUUUGCUGUGUGCACAAAAAAGAUUUCUAGGUGGCUUUGCGUUCUUUUCUUUCGAGAUGGUGCUGACACAAGCGUGUUACGCUGCGGUGGACUUUUCCGCGAGCCGAUGCCCUCCAGGCUUCCUCCGAGGAACUCAUCCCGAGCGACAUGGAGAAGGUCUGGAUCACCAAUGGCAGACUGACUUGGAGUGCUGUUUGCAAAGACUGAGGAAUUGGAUUCUGACAACUCAGUCAAAGGCAGACACAGAAAUGUACAACUUGGGUAGAGUCACUAAUGGAAGCCUGAAGAUAGGCCUUUAAGGCUUCAGCUGUUGCAUAGUCCACUUGUGAACACCAGGUUUUCCAUCCAUAAAAGAGAAGCCAGAGGUGGGGAGAGGAUCUUGCCUUGUGGCACAGGCUGACCUGGAGCCUGUGAUCCUCCUGCCUCUGCCCCCGAAAUGCUGGGACUGCAUGCAAUGUGUGCACUGCUGUGCCUCAGUUGAAUUGGAGACUUGAUCAACAGCUGGAAACAGAGGCCAAGAGGCAGGUAGGAGCUGUUUCAGCAUGCAUUGGAUUUUAUCUGGAGAAAAAAUGGGAUCUGGCAAUUGUAGAUGAAAACUCUUGUGAUGAUAAGUGAACAUGCACAGCUGUUGAAGUCUGUCAGGUGGCCUUAGGUUCCAGGGAAUGACCUGGUUGCACACAGGAUCCUGGCCUCAGGUGCUCACUGCAGAGUCUGCUGUGUGUGUGGGGUGAGGCUGGCCAGAGCCCUUUCUCGGGCAUUUUUCUUAAUUACUAAAGCGUAAAAGUGCUUUGAAUUGAAUUGUACUGCUGAAACUAUUGAGUGGCUUUCAAAGGAGAGAGGAACAGGAAGUCAAGGGAGGAGCACUGAGCUCCCCAACAGGUCACAGGGAGCCAUUGUCACCUCAUGUCUAGAGACACAGAAUGAAUGAAGCUCAGGAGAGUAGGAAACUGGGGCCUGUGGCCACCCCUCUGGCAUUGGGAGGGGUGGGAACACAGCCUUCGGAUUCUUGUCAGGGGCUGGGGCCUCAACCAAGCCCUUUCCCUUUCCUGGCUGAUGCUGGGCCGGGCCAGGGCCCUUGUGAGAUUGGAAGAAUGUGUACUAAGCUUUUGCAGGCUCUUGGAUUUAAGUCUCACCUAAGUAAUCAUUGAGUAAAACGUGGCCUCAGAGCUGGAUGCGCCUUCCAGUAAACUACAGAGUCCAUGGGCUUCUCUGCAGAUGGUGCCCCAGCCCCGCCUGUGCAGGCUCCUAGCUGCAGGCCUGGGGCUUGGAGGUCAGACAUGGUGGAGAGGCUCAGGUCAGCACCCUUCCUGUCUGGAGCCUUGGCAGGCAUCAGUGGCAGUUCCUGCUAUGGCAGAUGGUGUUUGCGUUCACUGAGCUCAUUAGCUUCUGUAUGCAGCCUGUGUUUUUCCUUCCCCUUCCCCCUCUUCAGUCCUUGCCCUCUUGGACCACUUUUCUAUUGUGAGAGAUCCAUCCCUUUGUCCCUUUCUAUCUAUCCUUUAUUAUUCUCUUUCUACUUUGCUUCACUCUAAUGUGAAAUACCAUGUGGUAUUUACCUUGUUGCUCUGGUUUAUUUCACUCAACUUUGUAUUUUCCAGGUACAUUUAUUUUCAUGCAAAUAUCCCAUGUUUGUAUUCUUUAUAGCUAAGAAGUACUGCAGUACAUAUAGAUACCAUAUUUUCUUUAUCAAAUUGUCUGGGGGGUAUAUAGGCUGCCUUCAGGAUUUAGCUAUUACUGGUUAUGCUGCUAUAAAGAUUGGUAUGCAUGAGUAACUGUAGUAUCAAGAUCUUUGGGGAAUGUUUUACAUCUCUCUCACUGGACAUGAGAUACCGGAAACCCUGAGUUAAAGGAAUGAAUGUUUUAUAUAGUUCAGUUUGUGGAGGUUUCAGUCUGUAAUCAGAUGGAUGCAAAGCAGGUUGGCAUGGCACAGAGGCAACAUUUCAAGGUGGUAGAACACAAAGCAACAAGAGCACAGAGCAUGGGGUACAAGCCUCUUUUCCUCCCUUAUGUUGUGAGCAGGCUACCGGCCCUUUGGUGGGUGCAGCUCUCACAGCAUCUCCCUGCCUUCCCCUUGUUCAGGAUGAGGGUGUUUACAAAGUGGGCACCUGGCCCCCUGCUGAGUCAUUUGAUUGACCCUCUGAACUUCUUAUGUUGACACAAUGAACAGCAUCCCAGAGCUGUUGGGCUUGUCCUGUUGGGUUAUUUAGUUAAGCUUCUCAAUUCUCAAGUUGAUACAGUGUAUCAACUGUGACAAGGAAGAUACUUCAAGGGGAAGACUGGGUCAUACAGUAUUUCUAAUGCUAGUUCUUUGAGAAAUCCCCAUAGUUAUGCCAUAAUGCUGGUACUAAUUUACAUUCCCACCAACAAAGAAGGAUUCUUUUUUUGUGACAGCCUCAUCCAGAAUUUGAUACUGUUCUCAUUUCUUAAUGUUUGCCAUUCUUUACAAAGAAACAUGUAAAUUUUGUUUCUUUUCCCUUUUUUUAAUAAAGAAUUUACUGAAAGAAAAAAAAGCUUCUCAGUAAGAGAAAAAUAAGGAGGUCUAGCCUCAACACGGAAUCGUAUCAGGGUUAUACAUUACAUUUCUGUAAUGGUCAGAGAUUUUGAACAUUUUUUUCAUAGACUUGUUGAUCAUUGGUAUGUCUUCCUCUGUGAAGUGUCUGUUCAUUUCUCUUGCUUAUUUUUGACAGUCUUUAAUUUCAGGUGUCUUAAUUUUUGAGUCUUUGCGUAUUAUUAGAAAUUUGUCCUCUGUCUGAGGACUACCUGGCAAAAAUUACUAUUCUGUGGCUAAGGUUCUCAUUAGAAAAUGUUUUUUGGGGCUGGGGAUGUAGCUCAGUGGCACAGCACCUGCCUGUCAGGUAUGAGAUAUCAUGAGUUCAAUCCCUGGUACAAAAAAAGAAAGAAAAAGAAUAGAAAAUAAAAUAUUAUGCUAUACUGGUAUCUUCAAGUGUUUUGUCUGUUUUAUCUUCAGAACAUCUAAUGUUUCUGUUUUAAUGUUGAUCAACUUUGAUUUUACUUUAUGUCCAGUUUCCAUCCUUGCAAACACAUAACCAGUUUUACCAGCACCAGUUGUUCAAUGGGCUGUCUUUUCUGCAGCCGAUGCUUCCGGCUCCUUUGUCUAAGAUCACGUAACUGCGUGGACAUGAUAGUGCAUAUCUCUAGUGAGAACACGCAGGAGACUGAAGCAGGAAGAUUGCUUGAGUUCAAGGCCAGCCUGUACUACAUAGGAAGUUAAAGACCAGUCUGAACUGCUUGGAGAGACACUCUCUCCACCAAAUGAAAAACAAAACAAAGCAAAAUGAAUGAAUGUGUCUGGGAAAGAUUCUAUAUCCUGUAUUCUGAUCCAUUGAUGCAUACAUCUGUUUUUCUUCCAGUAAUGUGCUAUUUUUAUCACUAUUGUUUUGUGGUAUAACUGAGAUUAGGAAUUAACUGUGCCUUCUCUUGUUUUGCUUUUGUUGCCUAAAAUUUCAUUUGCUAUUCUGUGUCUCUUCUGUCUUUAUAUACAUUUUAGGAUCAUUUGCUCAAGUUCUGUAAAGUCCGCUGUAGAAAAUUCAGGAUGUUGGCACAUGUUUGUAAUCCCAGCACUUGGGAGGCUGAGGCCGGACUAUUAUUGCUAGUUCAAGACCAUUCUGAGCUAUGAAGUGAGCUCAAGGCCAGCCUGAAAUGCAUAGUGAGAACUGUUAUAACUCGGGCCCCGGUAUAAAAUCCAAGGAAACAAGAGUCCAAAAAUUUAAGUAGCAAAGGCUUUAUUGAGCCAGUCCGGGCGGCACAGUCUCUCCUGGAUCGACCCAAAGACUGCGCGCCCAAGACUGGGGAAAGGGGUUUUUAAAAGUAAGGGAAAGUGGGGGGAAACCUGCGAGGCCAUUAAACCUGUUGACCUGCAUCUGGAAACUGUAUUGCUGUCCACUUAGCUCUGACAAUCUCGGGAGUUCCUGGUAUUCCUUAAAUUACUCCCAUCCUGCAGACUGACAUUAUCUCAGAGUGGCACGUCUGCAGCAAUAUUUGGAGAAGAAAGUGGAGAGUUAAUUAUCUCAGGACAGCUUGUCUUCGCUAGUGAGUGCGAAGGGGUCACGAGUUAUGAGACGCUGGAACUUAAGUUUUACAAAGAUCUGAUAUCUAACUCAUUUGAUACAUACAGAACAAAAGGAAAGCACCGAUCGGGGUUUGGGCCAUAGUGUUACCCGGUAAUUUCUUUUAAGCUAAGCAGUUCUUAAAAUUGGGGCAGGCUCAUUUUAUGACAGAUCAUCACCGGGUCGGGGAGAGGUCACAAGAAACCCAAAUUCUUUAUGGCCCAGAUAGGUGGGUGGGGGGAGGCAAUAAGGCGCGCUACAGAACAGGAAAACGGCGAGUAUCUAUCUUGUGGGAAAAGUAACUAAGGUUAGGUAAAAAGGUUAAACUUAUACACAAAUCUCCCUGCAUAUAAACAAGUUAUUUCAAACAAUGUGUAAAUUAGUGGGCCUUCUAGUCUUCUUUAGCUCUUUAGCGAAGAAUAGAGGCGCCUAACCAUGAUUAACAACCCUUGUUAGCUUGUUUUAGCACCACUCUUCUUGUUUGUAGAGGGCCGCUCUGGUUAACAUCUCAAUUAAGUGAAAUUCUUGCAGUUCUUUACAGAGGAGAGUAUUGCUCAACAUUUCAAUUGGGUCGCUGAACAUAUCAGUUGGGGAAAAAGGAUAGAAAAAAAAAACAUUUAGUAAGCCACGGUACAGGUUUGCUAUAAUACACAAAAUGAUGAAGCUACUUUCUUAGAGUACAACAAGAACCUGUCUCAAACAAUAAAUAAUGUAUGCUGUUGGUGUUUUAGUUGGGACUGCAUUGAAUCUGUAUAACUGUUUUGUGAGGAAAAUGGCCAGGUCUUUUGUUGUUUUGGGUUUGUUUUUUUUUUUUUUUUUUUUUUUGGUACUGGGGAUUGAACUCACAACCUUGCAGUUACCAGGCAAGUGCUUGAGCUGCUGAGCUAAAUCCUUGGCCCUUGGCCAGUUUUGAUAAUGCUGCAUCUUUCUAUUCAAGAAAAAAGGAUCUUUCCAUUUCCUGAUGUCUUCUUCAAUCUCUUUUCAGAGUGCUGUAGUUUUUAGAGGUCUUUUUAUUUUCCUUGGUCCAGUUAAUCCAUAGAGUGUUGUUUUCAUAAUUUCCUUUUUACUCAGUUUGUUACUGGUGUUUACAAAUGGUAAAGAUUUUUGUGUGUCACUCUUGUAUCUUGCUGUGUUGCUGAAGUUGGUUCUGCGGGAGAUUUUGGGUGCUGUUACGGUUGAUACAUUGUGUCAAUGUAAGCUUAAAAGUUUUCUUAACAGGCAGUCAAGACCCUUUGUAAAUACCUUGUUCUGUGUAACAGGAGGAAGCACAGAUUUUGUGUGUGGUGUAUCUGCCCUGGGGGGUGGGUAGGGGUGGCUUGCAUACAGUAUAAGGGAGCAGAAGAGGCCUGCUCUAUACUGUUUUGCUCUGGCUGCUUUUGCCAGCUGCUGCGUAAAUCUUUUGCCCUGGUGCUGUGCCACCCUACCUUGGAGCCAGCUGAUUAUGGACUGAAAUUAUUUGGUCUUCUAACGUAUGAGAGACAAAAACAGAAAAAAUAGAAGGAAAGAAAGGAGAUCUUUAAUGUGGGCACAGAAGGGCUGCCAAAGAUGCAAGCACCCUCUGGAAGUUUUUAAGAAAAAAACUGCGGGCUUUAUUCAGAAUUGACGGGUGGAAUUGAAGGGGCAGGUAGAGUGAUGUACUGACAGCUGUCUGGAGGAGGGUUGGCAUACAUGAAAAGUAGGAUGUUUAACUUUUAGGUCUAAAACUUAUAGCACUCUGAAACACAGGGUGGCACUGUCCAGCACCACGUUAGCUCACACAUGAGAAAAGCCUUUCAGAAACCUGCAGAAACAGUGAGCUAAAUAAACCUUUCCUUCGUUCAUUUUGGGUGUUAGAUAUUUUGUCCCAGCAAUAACAAAAAGGUAACCAGUACAGGUGGAUUUUCUAUUUAGAGUGUCAGGUAGUAGCCAGAGGUCAGGAGAAAGAAAUUGUACUGACCCUAGCAGACCCCAGAAGAGUAAUCUGCAAAGUCCAAGAUAUUGACUAAGGAUAGUUAGUUUUAUUUGUAGGGUGGCAAUCAGAAGUUACAAAAGCAAAUAGUUUUUGCUGAAGGUUAUGGUACAGUGGGUAUCGUGAGUUGAGCAUUCAUGUAUGUAGCAAAAUUUUUGUGGCACAUUCACAGAAGUUUUAAUUUGAUGAUAAGUCAUGAUUUAGUUGAGGUCAGUGGCAGAGAACAGAGUGGCUGCAGCUGUAUUGCACAGAAUGUUUCCAGUGAGGUCUGGAUUUCCUUUUCAGUUUUACAGUGAAAGCUUUCAUUUUUUGACCAUCCAGUAUGGUGCUUCCUGUUGAUCUGUCAUAAGUUGCUUUUAUCAUAUUGAACUAAGGGCCUUGUAUUAUACCUAUUUUCUUCGGAUUGUUUAUCACGAAGGGAUAUUGCACAUUGUUGAAAGUCCUUCCUGCAUGUGUUGACAUGAUUAUGGUUUUUGACUUUAUUACUGGUGGGGUCCUGCAAGCAAAGGGAAAAUAAGGGGACGCACACACUAAGGCACAGCAAAAUGGCUGCAGCCUAAGCAAGUAGCUUUUAUUGAGAUAAAGAACAAAGAAACUGAAAUUGCUCAUGCUUAGAUUAUACAACUUGUUAACUUCUUGGCCUUACAGGAUCUCAUGUUUUUACCUUGGGUUGGGGGUUAUGUUUCAAGGUCUCAACUUUUUCCCAUAAUAUUGUCAACUGGGUGUGUCCAGAACAAAAUAGAAUCAAUGUGGCCUCUCUACAUCUCCCCCUUCUUUUUUUAGUUUAGACUUUGUUACCAUUUUAGAAGCUGGCAUUUUAGGUGUCAACAUUUUGCAUCCCUUACCAGAUAAGCAGGUAAGGACAGUAAAACAAAAAAAUUUAUUUUAGCUGGUUGAUAUCUGGUAACCAUCCUGUAAGGAAAUUCCAUAAUUUUGCAUUGAGCACUUGGGAGGCGUAUAUCUGUCUGGUAAGUUCUUGUAAAUCAUGAAGUUUGCCAUUGAUGGAUUUACUUUCAUCAGACAAAUUAAAACAGCACACGAGCAAUUUCAUUACAUCCGUGAGGAUGCAAUAGAAUAAUCAGUUGCAGCACGAUUAUCUAAAAUCACUUGUCACUGCUCACUUUGUUCUUUGUUUAAUAAUGCCAAAACUAUAAAAGUAUAUUUUAGUUGUUUUUGCCAUGAGACAAGCUAGUGCAUUAACAUUGCAAUUGGCCCUGGCUGCCAGGGCAGGCACACCAACCAGUGAAAUACCUAAAGCAUAAAUUUCUGCUUUGUUUAACAGGCUGAUAGAAAAGUCCCCGCAUAGGUCAGUGAGACUAGUUGUAGACCGCUUGGUGCGAGACUGUACAUUCUGGAGAAGGCAACAAUACAGUAAGGUGACUAAGGCAGCAUCUGUGUUCUGAGAUAAGUUAGCAGGGAUGUAAUUGAAGGUCUACUCUUCACAUGAGAAAAACCAUCCAGCAGGGAGAGGGCCAUGUCCAUGUCCCUAAAUACUGGCUCAUAACUGAACAAUUCCAAGUAUUACUGGGAAGGCAAAGACAUUAAGCAGUACAAUUUUCAGUAGAAGCACAUGAGGCAUUUGAAGUUGCUACAUAUGGAGGGAACACUUUAACAGCAUUAUCAGGGUUUUCAAGGGUGGGAGGGGCCCAAUUUGGAAAGUCAGCAUAUGUGACAAUUUUGCUUAGAAUUGUGGAAAAAAUGGUUUAAUUACUUAUAGAGGCAGGGUCCUUGCAUCCUGGAACCAGACAGGACCUGAGGAGGUAUUUCAUUUCUGUGUUUUCAACAAGACACAAAUGAGAGACAUUAGAUAUUUUUGCCAAUAUUGUAUCUCCCAAAUAUUGUAUUCCAGUCUUUCUUGGAGGUUGCGAGACUCUAAAGUCCCCAUGGUGGAUUGUAAAAGUCAUAGCAAUAGAAUACAAACAAGCAUUAAAGAGUUAAUUCUUAGUUUGGUAAAUAUUACCACAUGAAGCUUUUUAGCAGUGCAUUCCUCUUCAGAUACAUGGAGCAAGUCUUAUGCAGACUGGAUCAGCACCUUUCUAUCAGGUCACUGGCUGAGCAGUUGUCAUCCUGGGUCACUCACUUCCAAGGCAGCUGGGUUUGAUUUAGGGAGAGGCGAAACUGUGGAGUCGGGUUGUGCACCGAUGGUGCCAACUCAAUCCAUGCAGGAUGAAUGCAAUAAGCAGGAAUCCACACAUGGUCUGUUCAGGGUAACACAGAAGCAUCCCCUCCUCCCCAGAUCAGCAGGAGAUCCAGCCUGGGUCUGGGGGUGUUUUGAAAAAAUGGAACUAACAUAGCCAAAGAGACCUAAAGAGAAACAGUAGAGGAUAGCAGAAAGGAGAAGUCAGCCUUGGUAAGUGAGAAAACAGUAUCAGUGAGAUCAGUUCCAAGGAGUGCAAGUGCACCAGUAAGUCCUCAAGAGAUAAGAGAAGAAAUAGCAUUGAUAAUAGGAAAUACAGUACUACCAAGCAAGAAGGGUAAAUGUAACCAUUCAACAAUAAAUACCUUGUUCUGGACGGCAACAAGAGCCCCUGCAGGCAGAGGGAAUGAAUAUAAAAGGAGUCAGGAGAGGGCAGUCCUGUGGGACCCGAUCCACCAUAACGUGGUGAUUGUGUGAGCAGUGCUCCAAAGGGGAGAGUCAGAGAUCACAUCAGCAGGAUCUCGGUUGCCCCUUAAAGCACCAACAGAGGAGCUAACUGCUGCGUGGUCAAAGGAAAAUAGGGUCCUACCCAGGUAAAGUGGAGACAGCUGAAGCAGCACCGGGAACACCUGGAAGGCUGCCACGUGGUGUCCAUCUGCUCACUGGCCAAAGGUGGCAGCAGCGCCCCGCAGAGCUGCCAGGUGUGCAGGACAGAGGUUGGGGCUCGAGGCGCCGCAAGCAGCAGUUUGGCCAUCUUUUCCCUAUUCUCCAGUAUGAGCAUUCCUCCCUCAAGAUACCCCAGACAAUGACCAUGAGUUUCUCACAAAGGUUGUACUAAAUUAUGCCCAGGAGCCCAUGGCCUGCCUUGUUAAGGAGAAAAAGCAUCCCUGCCCUGUGUUUCUGCUGCGCCUCAGACAGGGGAUUCCCCAUGACUCACCAGGGAUUUCCCAAAGAAAAUGAAGUGCAUGGGUUGGCUACUGUGUCCUACCCCAGGAACACAGUGAAGGCAAGUCACCCUCCGCAGCAGAGGUCUCCGCUGUCCAUGCACCAGAUGUUGGGGUUCUUCAACCAAA